rnacentral:rRNA from 1 species
UUAAAGGGUGCGCAGGCGGACUCGCAAGUGUCUUGUGAAAUCCCACCGCUCAACGGUGGAAUCGCUGGGCAAACUGCGGGUCUUGAGCCCGGCAGAGGCCGUCGGAACUCUAGGUGGAGCGGUGAAAUGCGUAGAUAUCUAGAGGAACGCCAAAGGUGAAGACAGACGGCUGGGCCGGCGCUGACGCUCAGGCACGAAAGCGUGGGGAGCGAACGGGAUUAGAUACCCCGGUAGUCCACGCCGUAAACGAUGUGCACUAGAUCCGGGAGGUUUUGACGCCAUCCGGGUCGAAGCAAAAGUGAUAAGUGCACCGCCUGGGGAGUACGGUCGCAAGGCUAAAACUCAAAGGAAUUGACGGGGGCUCACACAAGCGGUGGAGCAUGUGGCUUAGUUCGAAGCAACGCGAAGAACCUUAUCCAAAGCUUGACAUGCACGGAUUAGCGGCCCGAAAGGGUCGUGACGCUCUUUGAGUGGAACGUGCACAGGUGCUGCAUGGCUGUCGUCAGCUCGUGCUGUGAAGUGUCGGGUUAAGUCCCUUAACGAGCGAAACCCCUGCCGUUAGUUGCUAACAGGUGAUGCUGAGGACUCUAACGGGACUGCCGGUGUCAAACCGGAGGAAGGUGGGGAUGACGUCAAGUCCUCAUGGCCUUUAUGCCUUGGGCUGCACACGUGCUACAAUGGCGACUACAGAGCGAAGCAAUGCCGCAAGGUGGAGCAAAUCGCAAAAAGGUCGCCCCAGUUCGGAUUGCGGUCUGCAACUCGACCGCAUGA